GACAAUGAUGAAGAGCCAUACAACAGUAUUAGGCAGGAGGAAAAUAUGGAUCUUGAUCUAAUGAGAUGAGAUGUAAACAUUUGCUGCACAGUGAAAGUAUUGUACCUGAAGAAAGCUUUUGAAUCUGGCUUCUGUUUUUAAUGUUGUUGUUUUUUUGGGGGGUAAUUAAAAAGAGACAAAUAUUUGUGCCAGAAAAUAUAAGAGGACUCCAGGAGGCAGAGCAGCUCAUCUAACUGAGAUCAGUGGCUCGACAAACCAGUUAAGAAAUUUUGUGGGCAUUUUCAAAAGAACACAAAAAGUACCUGAAGAGCCAUCCAGACCAGAACAUAUCUGAACUUAGCUGAGAAAUGAUUUCAAAAGUAGACUUCCACUGGGAAUGUCAAUGAGAAUUUGAGCCUACAGCUCUCUGGUUGCUCUGGUUCCUCGGGUAAUCUAUCAGCUGGGAGAUUCUUUUCAAGAUCUGCUUGCCAUGAUAUAUAUCUGGAACCACACAUGUGGAACAGGAUAAUAGACCUCUAUUCUGCAUCUGUCUGGCAAAUCCUGUGUCUGCAGCUCUCAGUGUCUGGCAAACCUGCUUCCUCUGUCUGGAUAUAAAUAAGUUCAGACAAAGGUUUCUGUAAGGAUCCUGGGUUUUUCCUACAUUUUUAAACAGUUGUAAAUCUGCAUUUUGCAACAUAUCCACUGUGCUGAUAUACCUGAUCCGGUUAAUGCCAAAAACUACAGUAUGAAAACACAGUAAAAGUCCUGUCAUAUCGAUGCAUAAAACUUAAUGUCCUGUUUCUAUUUGUGGUUUAAAUACUGUUCAUGUUCUGUGAUUGAAAGGAAGUUUGCAGUGAAAGAAAUUCACAUAAGAAAAUGAAAACCCUUACCUAGAAGAGGAAGAACUCAGUAAUAGUGUAAAAUCCUUUCUGUACAUAGGAUUUAUUAAUAUUUUGCUGCUGGUGGCAUUCAUCUCUCUUCUUUAGACAGCUCAUUAAACAACUGCUAAAGUGUUUAAUAAAUUAAUUUAUGAUAAUAAAUUAACAGCUUACCCAAGAUCAGAAACAUUUUGACCAUUCAAUUAUCCACAGUUCCCCAGGGCUCCCGUAGUACCACAACCUUAUAGCUGGUAAAGCAGGCAAUACAUAAAGGAUUUUUACUGAUAAUUACAUUAGGUAUAUUGCAUUUUUUUCCUCUUUAAAUAUGAUGCUGCAGGGUUAUGGACUCCACAGAAUAGUUUCUAAAGCAAUAUUGACUUAACUCUAAGUCAUUAAUAAUAUAAUUAGUAUGAUCUCUAAAGGAUGCCAACCUGAAGUUAUCCUAUGUUUUCAAACUGCAAACAUGAAUUAAAUAUAUGGCAAACCAACCUUA